GUCGAACGAUGAACCUCACUUGUGGGGGGGAUUAGUGGCGAACGGGUGAGUAACACGUGAGUAACCUGCCCUUGACUCUGGGAUAAGCCUGGGAAACCGGGUCUAAUACUGGAUACGACCUUCCCGCGCAUGCGGUGUUGGUGGAAAGCUUUUGCGGUUUUGGAUGGACUCGCGGCCUAUCAGCUUGUUGGUGGGGUAAUGGCCUACCAAGGCGACGACGGGUAGCCGGCCUGAGAGGGUGACCGGCCACACUGGGACUGAGACACGGCCCAGACUCCUACGGGAGGCAGCAGUGGGGAAUAUUGCACAAUGGGCGCAAGCCUGAUGCAGCGACGCCGCGUGAGGGAUGAAGGCCUUCGGGUUGUAAACCUCUUUCAGUAGGGAAGAAGCCG
rnacentral:rRNA from 1 species